rnacentral:lncRNA from 1 species
CUCAUGUAUCGUAAAAUUUGUACUCCAUAAAGUAGAGUUAUAUGUGUAGAUUGCAUGCAUUGUGGAUAGUGCUUGGUUUUGCAAGUUGAGAACAUGUCUCCAUGCUAGAAUUGAGUGAAUUAUGCAUCAUGAACAUAUUAAUGCCAUGCUUGGAACUCGUUGAACAAAAGUGUCAUAAAGGGGCACUUGGAAUUAGUAAACUAUGAAAAUGCAACUUAGAGACGUGAUGACAGGCCAUUG